rnacentral:rRNA from 1 species
UACAGAGGGGGCAAGCGUGAUUCGGAAUUAUUGGGCGUAAAGGGCGCGUAGGCGGCUUUUCAAGUGACGGGUGAAAUCCCUCGGCUUAACCGAGGAACUGCCUGUCAGACUGGAAGGCUUGAGACCGGGAGAGGUGAGUGGAAUUCCCAGUGUAGCGGUGAAAUGCGUAGAUAUUGGGAGGAACACCAGUGGCGAAGGCGGCUCACUGGACCGGAACUGACGCUGAGGCGCGAAAGCGUGGGGAGCAAACAGG